AUUAAAAAGGAGAAGAAAAACAAAGGAAAAAGAGUUAGCCACACAGUAAUGACCUGAAGUCAGAUCUCUGGUUCCUAAGCUCUCAUCAUGGUGCCCAGGCACUAGCUGGCUAGCCCCAUACUACUCAGUCACUCUUAAUAUCUAUGUGCGUCUUUCUGGGAUAUGUGAUGGAAUCAGACAAUACAGUAUUUAGCGCAAGCUGUAGUUCUGGAAGUGUUGUGAGGAUUCAUCAGUUAAUGUUGUACAUCAUAUGUACAUUAACUUGUAAUCGCAAGUACAUGUUGUAAAAAUCCUAAAACUGUAACAGACUUGAGCUGCUUCUAACUCUUGUUAGCUCAGAAUAUCUUUUUUUAAUAGCACAGGGAAAAUUACAGGAAAAGUUAGAAAGACUGUGAGAAAUAAAUGUUUUCCCACAUGUUUUAGGACAGUGAAUGAAGCUGCAUAUUACCCUUUUAAUAUCUGCAUUAAUUUAGCACACAAACUUUCAAAGAGUAGAAGAGGGAUCAGCUUUUGCUUCUUAGGCUGCAGCAAGUGACACCCAUGGUGCUAGGAGGAGGAGAAAUACUUGUCCCAACACAAUGGCAGGAGGAUAAACACCCAUAACAGCAUGUUGUGAGAUCUUAUGGCCUGGUUAAUUUUCCAUACAACAGGCCUACUGUGAAAAGCCCACCUCUAAAACUGCUAAUGAGUAAUCGAUGAUAUCAUGACACAGUAGCUGUUGUGCCAGUAUUUUCACCUUCUGUCAUUUGGAUUUUAAUGACCUUCUUAUGUGCCUGGAUGCAAAGCAACUCAUACCACAAACAAACAAGCUUAACUGUUCCCUUUUAACUUGUAGGAUAAGCCGUUACAGAAACACAUCUCUCCAAGGCAGCUGGCAAAACAGAUGAGGUGAUGUACCUAAUGUCAAAACAAUGAGAAUAAACGCUGAAGAGCUUCUCAGGCCUUUGAAGACCUACAUCUGCCUUCAAAUACAAAACCUCUUCCAGUAGGUCUAAAGGAUCAGCAAUGUGUCCGGAAUUAAAGUAAAGACCAUUGUGGCUGGCUACACUACUGAACUUGCCAGAGUAAUCACAGGAUCCCAGCUCCCCCAGUAGCAGAGGUCAAACAAGCAGAAGCAUCAGUCAGUCACUGGUUUCAAAUCUGGAGAGAGAUGCUUUUCAGCCUGCGAACCACAGACUAGUACACAGGCAGCUGUGAAUUAGUUCUCCAAGGGUUUUUGAAAGGUAUCCAGGAAAAACAAACACAUGGUCUGUGGCUGAAAUUCAUUGCAGAAGGGUUCCACCUUGCACAGAUUUCUCUACAAGUUAAGAAAAAGAGACUUGGAAACUGUGAGUUUCAGACUGAACAAAGAUUUACAUCUAUUUGCUGAAGUAUUAGUUCUCAGAAAACCUGAGCCUUGCAACUUUCUGCACUACAAAUUCAUAAGUGACAGUCAGACAUGACCAGAAUUUCACUUUCUUCAGAGCCCUUGGUAAGCAGAAACAUGGAGACAAUAUCUUAAGUAUAAGCAGGGAAUACUGACGGUAAAGUGUUGUUUCAAAGACUACCAGGAAGAAACAAUGGAAUUUGUAGGCAGUCAAAACAAAAUAAAUAAAUAAAUAAAUAAAUAAAUAAA